UCCACAUUACUUCGUGAAAAUAACUACUCUAAUAUAGUUUCUAACUAAACGCGUAACGUCAAAACUAUAAACACAAGAUGCUCAGCAAAACUAAAAUAUUGUGUCACGACUCUUUGCCACCGAUCGAUUGCUAUUAAGCCGAGCAACCGUUUAGCCCGCUUAUGUCUCUUUUUUAUCCUUAAGCAAACUCCAACAUCACCGCCAAAAUGUACUCCACCUACGAACCCUCGUCCCAUUUCCACCCAUGCUCUGGUCGGGGUGAGCUUUUUCGAGGGUAGGGUAUCAUGUUAUCAGCUUGCUAAACACCGGAUAUUUGGCAUCAUCUCUCACUCGUGUAGUGUAGGAUCGCUUGCUCUCGGAGCACUUUUGAACUGGCGUUAUGCUACCCCCCCGACACCACACACACACACACACAUUCACGGUCGAGAUUAGAGCGCCACCACGAACUGGCAAGUGGCAAACGGUUGAAAUGAACCAGGAAAAGAUCCACUGCCGACAUGGGGACACAAGGUACAGAGAGGGUGGUGAUGGUUUGGGGUGAAAAAUUCAAUUUGUUUAGACGCGACUUUUAACAAACUGCAACCGAUACAACAAUACGUGUGGGUCACCGGGAGAGGUUGGUGUGAAACACAAGAAAAACAAAUUCGACAACACACCGACCGGCAGUCGGAUGCAGUGCGAGGAGGGCAAAGAGCAAUGCAACGAGCGAUGCGAUGCAAAUGCAAUUUUUAGAAAACAUGUUUUGUUGUGGCUUUUCCUUUUUUUUUUUUGUUAGUGUUUUUUAUCAUUCACUGACACAACAAACGGGAGUUUUCUUUUUGGUUUCGCUACUGAGCGCGAGAAGAGUACAGACGGAUAAAGUUUGUUCGUGUGGCAUCUUCAUCACGGGACAGUUUGUGGGCUAUCUCAUUGCAGUUGAAGGGAUGGGAAAUAACACCCAAAAUAAAAACACUCACCCCCCAACACGUAGUAUGGUUGUUUCGAGUUCUCCCCACCAAAAAAACGGUGGACACCAACAAAAAAAAAAAACCCACACGAACGGCAAAGUAUUCUGCUACGUACCCAGUCCCGCGGUUAAAUGGCGAUGGCGAUGUAUCGCACGAGCAUCUAAAAUUAAAACCAUCGUCAUCGACGAAACCAGCCAUUUUCGAAGCGAGCUGCCUGAACCGCCGAGGUGACAUUAGUGCGGUGACGUUUGGCCGUUCGCGUUCGUUAGCGAGUUUGCUAUUUGGGUUGUCGUACACAAGAUCGUUUAGAUUUCGCUUUCCGCGCCAGGCGACUUGCGAAAAACGCGACCUCGCGUUGAAAAUCUCGUUCGUACCAUGCAAAUCAACCUGGGGACGUGGUUGGACGUGACGCCGGAGGUUGUGGGGUAGCGGUGCCAGCGGCGGGGAUAUCAUCAUUUUCGACUCGGUGGCGACGGACGGUUCUUCUCGGUGGAAAUUCUCACGCGAACGCGCACCAGAAGCGGGAAGGCGAGAAGAUUGAGUGAGAAGGAAAUAUGGACGACGCGGUCCCCAAAAUUGAUUGCUCCACCGCAGUGCUCUCCGCGCAGUGCAAAAGUGUCAAAAUGAGGCUGCGAGAAAACCCGCGCACAGUAAGGAUAACGCACCAAUGGCGUGCGAACGGGACAGCGCGAGAUUGGGGCCGCGAUGCGAUGCACAUCCGCCGAGAGGAGCACACGAGUGGUCCUUCCCUUCCAAGCCGAAGCGAUCGAACAAGGAACGAGAGAGAGAGAGAGCGAGCGAGCGAUAGAGGCAGCGAACCCGGACGCGCGCGCCUGCUCUGGGAGGCGUCAAGUAAAAGUUUCACUUGUACGUAGUAGUGUAGAACGACUAUUAAAUCUAUUGUUUCACAUCCAUUUUUAUGACCCUUUGGUGGUUCGGAGAGCGGACUGCGUGGAACCGAAAAACGACACGGUGUUAAAAGUGUUUGCCGGCGAACCUCAUCGUCUCACAGUCCUUGCCGCACUGUUCGCCGCGUUCGACGCAAGGAUUUAAGGCUGUCUGGGUGUAUGAGUGUGUGUGUGUGUGAGAGAGAGUGAGGAUGUUUUAAGUUUUUGCAGACUGGAGCAGACUCUUGACGCUGAAUAGUUUGUACGGAAUCAUCCGCUUCCAUUAAGUUGAUGCUCCCAUUUUCUUACCUCCUCCCCGCCCAGAAGCGGCAGUAAAGGGUGACACACUGCCGGCGGAUGUCGAAUGAAAGUGACUUUUGCAGCGAAAAGGGAAAACUUUUUACCGCCGCAAGGUGGAAAAUGAAUUUAGUUUUCCCGACCCUUACCGAUGGAAGGUUUAAGGAACUUUCGCUACGGAUUUCGGAUUCUACUUGCCUCUAGCAGGCAGUCAGUCAAGGAUUGUAGACCGCUGGCACAAUGGCUUUGUUUUAAAGUUUAGAUUUUCCCUCAACUUGGUGCCGUCGUCUUCGCCGAAACAGCUGUGAAAAGGGUAAGAACUCUGUUACGGGAAAAGCGUGUGCUUUGAUUACCGUGCAACCGCUAGGAGUGACUAUGCAAAUAGAAGAGUUUUCUUUCACUUUGGAAACCAAUCUAAUCAAAAAUUGUGCUAACAGUGUUUUAGAUAAAAUUGGUAUCCUGUUUUGUAGAGUGAAAAGGCAAUAAAUAUAAAGUCUAGAAAUUUAAUUUACCUUCUUGCGAUUAUUGGUUUUUCUUCGUUUAAUCAUAACACAAGUCCAAGAUAUUUUCCGUCUUCCUAGUACAACAAACUGCACUAUUGCUUCUUGAAUUACUUUCAUAACUUCGUAUCGAAAGUCAUCCGGAGGAGAUUGCCUUCACAAAGUGUGCCAAAUAUCAUGAAGACUUUGAGUCCUGGACCUGCAUCAAUUAUAGCUGUUCAAGAAAACAUGAAUCAGCAUCAAGAGACAUAGAAAUAUCGUAGAGAGAUCAACUUUGAUCAAUGUCUUAGGUGGUUGACCGAUUAUCAACUUUGAAUCCUACUGCGAUACUUGGUUGGCAGUUGUCUAUCUCUUAAAAUUAUAUCAGGAGCUAAGAAGUUGAAAGCACUUAAAAUAGCCAUAAUUGUCAAUAAUCUUUCAUCAAGAAACCCAGUACUGUCAUGCUUCUUCAUCUAGUCCAGCAAAAUGGGCAAGGGACAUGAUUCCACCGUCUUCCAAGCUCGUUAAAUUCGUUUUCCAAUUUAUCCUCGAAUGAGUUCGCUCCAAUCAUGUAAUCUAGUCUUCUAAAUAUUGCCCGUAAAACGUAUCCAUUAGCGGUUUUGCAUUAGCACCGAAUUAGCGCAGUGUACAACUAGCGUACAACCAUAGUCCAUUAUCGCAGCGAGGCAAAUUGCACCGAAAUUGGAGCGACAUGCAAACAACAACUCGCAACGUAUGUUUCGAAAUGCACACCGAUUGUAUCAGAUAAACAACAAAACUGAGACAAUAAACGGUGGAGAGCAGCAGGAGAGAGCAAAAAAAAAA